AUGCCCUUUGGUCUCGAGGAUCACCAUUUGGUGGGGUUGGGGUCACACCCAAAGUCAUAUUGGAGAAUUGAGCGGAACUACUUCCAUGUGCACUCUUUUAUCGGGUCAGGAAGCCCUAUUUUUGAAGCAGGAAGACAGGUCUUUCUUCUUGGAUAG
rnacentral:rRNA from 1 species